rfam:Zea mays cultivar B73 chromosome 2, whole genome shotgun sequence.
CAGAUAAGGGGCCCGCCCGGACUAGCCAAGGAGACUGCCUGUGAUCGAGGCCACGAGGCGAGCAAUAAAACGUGCACAAGGUUUUGCCCGAGCCAAGCCAAGCCAAGAAGCCACAGGCAAGUCAUCCUUGGCUAUCUGGACAGACUCUUAUCG